rnacentral:tRNA from 1 species
GAAGGUACAGCUCAGUGGUAGAGUGUGUGCUUAGCAAGUAUGAGAUCCUGGGUUCAAUCCCCAGUACUUCCC